rnacentral:rRNA from 1 species
UACGUAGGUCCCGAGCGUUGUCCGGAUUUAUUGGGCGUAAAGCAAGCGCAGGUGGUUUAUUAAGUCUGGUGUAAAAGGCAGUGGCUCAACCAUUGUAUGCAUUGGAAACUGGUAGACUUGAGUGCAGGAGAGGAGAGUGGAAUUCCAUGUGUAGCGGUGAAAUGCGUAGAUAUAUGGAGGAACACCGAUGGCGAAAGCGGCUCCCUGGCCUGUAACUGACACUGAGGCUCGAAAGCGUGGGGAGCAAACAGG